rnacentral:rRNA from 1 species
GCGCACCAGUCGCGAAUCCUUUACAAUGUCUUCACGGACGAUAGGGGAAUCCUAAGUGCUCUAGCAUUGCUAGAGCUUUUGCUUACUGAAAAAAGGUAGGCGAAUAAGUGGUGGGUAAGACGGGUGCCAGCCGCCGCGGUAAUACCCGCGCCACAAGUGGUGACCACGUUUAUUGGGUCUAAAGCGUUCGUAGCCGGCCUAGAUAAAUUCUCGGUGAAAUCCUGUGUAAAUCAUAGGGCGUGCCGGGAAGACUGUCAAGCUAGGAACCGGGAGAGGCUGAGGGUACUCCAGGAGUAGGGGUUAAAUGCCGUUAUGGUUUAACCCUACGGUUUAACAAUCCUGUAAUUCUUGGAGGACCACCGGUGGCGAA